GGAGAGAUGGCUGAGCUGGUCGAAGGCGCACGAUUGGAAAUCGUGUAGGCGUUAAUAGCGUCUCGAGGGUUCGAAUCCCUCUCUCUCCG
rnacentral:tRNA from 1 species